rnacentral:rRNA from 1 species
AUUGAACGCUGGCGGCAUGCCUUACACAUGCAAGUCGAACGGUAACAGGUCUUCGGAUGCUGACGAGUGGCGAACGGGUGAGUAAUACAUCGGAACGUGCCCGAGAGUGGGGGAUAACGAGGCGAAAGCUUUGCUAAUACCGCAUACGAUCUCAGGAUGAAAGCAGGGGACCGCAAGGCCUUGCGCUCACGGAGCGGCCGAUGGCAGAUUAGGUAGUUGGUGGGAUAAAAGCUUACCAGGCCGACGAUCUGUAGCUGGUCUGAGAGGACGACCAGCCACACUGGGACUGAGACACGGCCCAGACUCCUACGGGAGGCAGCAGUGGGGAAUUUUGGACAAUGGGCGCAAGCCUGAUCCAGCCAUGCCGCGUGCAGGAUGAAGGCCUUCGGGUUGUAAACUGCUUUUGUACGGAACGAAAAGACUCUGGUCAAUACCUGGGGUCCAUGACGGUACCGUAAGAAUAAGCACCGGCUAACUACGUGCCAGCCGCCGCGGUAAUAC